GGGGUCAAGUCUGAUGCAAUGAUCAUCGGAAGGGUGUCAUUAUGUCCUAAGAAUGUAUACUUGAGUGCGAUCGAAAGUGACUUUAAUUCUAGUGCAGAUGGUGAUUCUAAUGACGGGACUGUGGGUGUAUUAGCUAAUGCAGGCAAUGGCUCGUACUUGAUUGUCCAAGGAGGAGUAGUUUCAGUAUUUGAUGUAUCAACUAGAAUAUUUACUUCUUCGCUACCUCCUUCUAUAUCAUAGUC
rnacentral:lncRNA from 1 species